UCUAUAGAAAAUCUAUAGAGAUAACCUUAACAAGUGAUUUAAUAGCACUGCUAACACAGUAGAAAACAGUAUUGACUUACAAAGUGUUUAAUAAACUUUGUAGUAUAUUAUGAUUACAUAAUGAAAUACGGUGUCCCUACAGGUCAUUAAUUUGCUAAAUCAGUGCUUUUUUAAUUAUUACUCCACAUUACAUGCUCAUUUUUUCAUUUGACUUUUUACACAUGACUAAAUAUAGACAGCCAUUUUAAAUAGUAAUUUAUGCAAAAUUCAUCAAGAAAUUAUGAUUAUGAAUAAUGGCUAUAUAGUAGACUUCCUGAAGAAAAUUUUAUCUGUUAUUUUCCCAACAGAUGUGACAUCUGAUUAUGAAAUGAAUGAAUCAAAGCAAAAUCAUAGUGAUGGUAGAUAUUAGCAAUGCUAUCACAAAAAUUGUUGUGAAUGCAUUGUCUGAGAACAUUAAAUUGAAAGUGGAAGAAAUAAUUGAGACAUUAUAUAUGUAUUCAUACAGUUGAUUCUUUCUAAGUUUGAAAAAAGAA